UAGUCCACGCCCUAAACGAUGUCAACUAGCUGUUGGGGCCUUCGGGCCUUGGUAGCGCAGCUAACGCGUGAAGUUGACCGCCUGGGGAGUACGGUCGCAAGAUUAAAACUCAAAGGAAUUGACGGGGACCCGCACAAGCGGUGGAUGAUGUGGAUUAAUUCGAUGCAACGCGAAAAACCUUACCUACCCUUGACAUGUCUGGAAUCCCGAAGAGAUUUGGGAGUGCUCGCAAGAGAACCGGAACAC
rnacentral:rRNA from 1 species